rnacentral:rRNA from 1 species
UGGGGAAUAUUGGACAAUGGGCGAAAGCCUGAUCCAGCCAUGCCGCGUGUGUGAAGAAGGUCUUCGGAUUGUAAAGCACUUUAAGUUGGGAGGAAGGGCAGUAAGCGAAUACCUUGCUGUUUUGACGUUACCGACAGAAUAAGCACCGGCUAACUCUGUGCCAGCAGCCGCGGUAAUACAGAGGGUGCAAGCGUUAAUCGGAAUUACUGGGCGUAAAGCGCGCGUAGGUGGUUCGUUAAGUUGAAUGUGAAAGCCCCGGGCUCAACCUGGGAACUGCAUCCCAAACUGGCGAGCUAGAGUAGGGCAGAGGGUGGUGGAAUUUCCUGUGUAGCGGUGAAAUGCGUAGAUAUAGGAAGGAACACCAGUGGCGAAGGCGACCACCUGGGCUCAUACUGCCACUGAGGUGCGAAAGCGUGGGGAGCAAACAGG